rnacentral:lncRNA from 1 species
AAAACAGUUGUAUCUUAACGGAUUGAGAAACAAAAGCAGGACCACUUUUCAUCAGCUCCCUCCUUCUCCUUAACCGGCAAUACAUGCUGAUGCUGAUAUCCCAUAGACCCUCAGCUCCAUCCUGAGUCACUGGGAACGUGGUCUAAACCCUCACUAUUAAUAUGAACUGAGUUUCAAUAAGAAUCUUAUAUGGGUCGGGCAUAGUGGCUCAUACCUUUGAUCCCAGCACUUCAGGAGGCCAAGGCAGGUGGAUUGCUUGACCCAGUCUAGGCAACAUGGUGAAACCCUGCCUCUACAAAAAAUACAAAACUUAGCCAGGCAUGGUGAUGCGUGCCUGUGGUCACAGCCACUCGAGAGGCUGAGGUGGGAGGACCACUUGAGCCUGGGAGGUGGAGGUCGUGUUGAGCCAAGAUCGCACCACUGCACUCCAGCCUGGACAACAGAGUGAGACCUGUCUCAAAAAAACCAAAAACCAGAAAAGAACUUACUUAAAGAAUAUAAUUGGGUCUUGUCAUUCCCUUAUUUAAACUCUUGUACCCAUUUCCCAGUGCCGUUUAGAUAGAGAUUCCAGACUUUUUUUUUUCCCCCUUAGUUCUCAGCGGAACAGUCACUUCCUUAGGGAGGUUCUGUUUCUCCUGAAGGAGAGCUGGAAGAAUGACUUGCAUUCUUUUGCAUACACAGGCCUUACCUGGUGAACCUUCUGCCGUGCCUGACUCGAACAAGCAAGAGACCCGAGGAAUCAGUCCAGGAGACCUUGGCUGCAGCUGUUCCCAAAAUUAUGGCUUCUUUUGGCAAUUUUGCAAUAAGGACUUCUUUCCACUUCUCAUUUCUUACUGUGGGGUGAAGAGUUGAAUUGGGAGAUGGUUUCUAGAUGCAAAUUGAAAAGGCAUUUUUCCAGAGCAGGUUCGUUUUCGGCGUACUAGAGUGACUCUUUAACCUAGCUGCGGGAAGGUGACUGUGCCAGGACUGCAGGUAGGAGAAAGCUCACUGACGAGGCCUUGUGGGUCUGAACGUCCUGCAGCUAUCAGGGCCUGUUGGCUUCCUGUUGUGCAUUCCAACAAAUCAUCUUCAAACCCACUUUAGUGUUUUGUUUAUAACGUCCAGAAAUAGUGACCCUGUCACAUGCUCUACAGAUUACAGGAUUCUUAGCCUCUUCCUUUUUGGUAGGUCAGUCCUGGGUUUGAGCCCAAGUGACCCUCCUGGGAGGUGAUGAUACACAGUGGGUAGAGUGGAAUCAGAUGGACUUGGAUUAGAAUUCUGUCCUCUUUACUAGUUAUUUUCCUCUAGGCAAACUACCCAACAGCUCUAAGC